rnacentral:misc_RNA from 1 species
UGUGGUGCUUGUAUUAAGCAGGCAUCAAGCGGAGUGGAGCUGAGCCGAGCUAAGUCGUGAGCAGAUGCGUCAUUCCAAGCGGAUCGAGCAAAUCGGAGUUACUUGGGUUACGCCUUUCGGAGUGAUUUUGAACCUUUAGAAAGAAUUUUUGAAGCCGAAUGCGGUCUCGCACUUAAUCGCAUCUUGUCAUAUCUUUUUUUCUUUCCCGCGACACCUUAAUUGCUAAAAUAUAUCUACUUAUAAUAAGUGAAAAUAUUUUCACGAGCAGAAUUUAUUCAUCGCCACGUAUUGAGUUCCACGUCGACGGUGUGGCUGGAAAUAACCUGGUGACACAAUACGAUUCUGUAGGUCUAAUGACCUUUCCUGAAUAGUCUCCGAUCCCUUCAAUUUGUUUUGUUGACGUUAAUAACCGCGAGCUCAUCCUCUCGCGAGGAAAUUAGAUCGGGACGUGAUAAUCACACACGUACUUAUUAUCUUAUCCGGUGACGCGUCUCGUGAUUACAUAGUUAGCUCAUAAUCGCGCCGGGAGUAAAAUAAUUAGCACUAAGUGUGUGCCACAUCGUCAGAGGAUCAUCGUCGACUCUUCUAUUAUUUUCUAUUAUUUUCAUCUUACUCUUUCUCUUUCUGAAGCGGUGAGCUAGUCGCUUUAAUCUAUUCGCAGUGUGUCCGACGAGAUUUCGACAUGGGUAUCGAGGACAUCGAAUACAAGAUGUCAGAGAAGAAUCCCGAGAUGAGGGAAACUGCUGCAAGAAUCUGUCGAGAUUACUUGCACGGUGUAUGGAAACACAUUACAUCGGAAAACAUUGUUCUCAAACGCAUUAGUGGUGGUCUAAGCAAUUGGCUGUAUAACGUCCAGCUUCCUGAAGGAACGGUUCCGAUUAGGGGAGAACCUCGUCAAGUUUUGCUACGUCUUUAUGGGCAGGUGCAUGGAGAAAGGGCCUUAGAAGGACUAAUCACAGAAUCCGUCAUCUUUACCUUGUUAUCCGAAAGGAAACUGGGUCCUAAGCUGCACGGAGUAUUUCCUGGUGGUCGUAUAGAGGAAUACAUCCCAGCUCGACCUUUGAUCACGAAGGAAUUGGCGGAUUCAACCUUGAGUCUACUGAUCGCAGAAAAGAUGGGUCAGACACAUAUGAUGCAGAUACCAAUUAGCAAAGAGCCUGUGUGGUUAUGGGAUACAAUAAAUAAUUGGUUCAACACUACGACAGAUAUUCUUGAAAACAUUCAUAAUGAAGACAUUGAUAGUCGGCAACUGGAGAAUAUUAACACAAUAAAAUGUAUAAAUUUUGAGCACGAAAUCAAUUGGCUCAAAACAAUUAUAACGCAGCAAAAGUAUCCAGUUACAUUCUGCCACAAUGACAUGCAAGAGGGAAAUAUACUUCUACUCCAAAAUACGCGAAAGCCCAAGUUAGUACUCAUUGACUUCGAAUAUUGUUCCUACAACUACCGAGGAUUUGAUAUCGCCAAUCAUUUCGCCGAAUGGCAAUACGACUAUACAACACCGGAAUAUCCUUUCUUUCACGAACGUCCGGCCGCUGGUCCUACGAAGGAGCAAAAGGACCGUCAAGACAAGGCUGAUGCCUGCAAACAGAGAAAAAUUCGGCCGGCAAUGUGAAACUGUGCUGUGAUGGAUCCCGACUUUGUGGGUGCUCUACAUUUUGGGAACCAGGGUGCCACCGGUACCACCAUCUUGGCAGCACCAAUCCGCUCAUCUACGAUUCUAGACUCGAUUUCAUAAGAGCCUACCUAAGAACAUUGAACAAAGAAG